UACGUAGGGGGCUAGCGUUGUCCGGAUUUAUUGGGCGUAAAGAGCGUGUAGGCGGCCAGGUAGGUCUGGUGUGAAAACUCGAGGCUUAACCUCGAGAUGUCAUCGGAAACCAUUUGGCUAGAGUCCGGAAGAGGAGAGUGGAAUUCCUGGUGUAGCGGUGAAAUGCGCAGAUAUCAGGAAGAACACCAAUGGCGAAGGCAGCACUCUGGGACGGUACUGACGCUGAGACGCGAAAGCGUGGGGAGCGAACAGG
rnacentral:rRNA from 1 species